CCCACUAACAUCGUCUCUGUCUUCUAGAGCCGUCGUCUUCUUCGUAUCUUUUCUUCUUCGACCGACUACAUAACCUAUGUGAAACGCCUUGGUUCCUCAUUGAAUCCACUUCAUAACGUCUCUCCAUUAACUCCAUCCGUUCAACUCUGCAAGUAAAUCGACUAUAAUGACCCCCUUUCUCAAUUUUCCAUCCCAAAUCCUAAUUCUUGAGACUAUAAAUAGGGAUAAAUAGUUCACCAAAUCUCACUGCUUCAGGAGAUUAAUCAAAUUCCAUAUCCUUAUUUCUGAUUUAAAUUAUGGUCGUUGUCCCAAACAGUGGUGGCGCUUCUUCUGUCUUUCUGGGGAGCACACACUGUCAAGAAAAGAGGAAAGCUCAUGGGAUUCAACAUGCUCCUGUUCUAUGAAAAGGUUUAAUAGACCUAAGCCAAGACUCGAGUUCUCGGUGGCUAAUCAAGUCGCAAGAAAUGGAAACUAAUGAUCCUAAGAUUUAUAAUAAAAAGAUCAGAUCUCACGAGAAGUUACAGCGUUUAAAUACCAUCAUGGCUGUCUAGAUGAUUGUAGAGUUCCUCAUGUAUACAUCGAUCCCCAGAUUGCUAUACCUGGUCUCCUCCAACAGGGCUUCAAAGUGGCAUGAAUUUUUCAGAGACUACUUGUGGUUGCCAAAAAAAUCGUUGGCAUUAAGACAGCAAAGUACGGAUAACGCAAAUCCAAAGCAAUUGUGGAUUUCCGGUCUUUUGCUUCUUUUGCUGGUUUAUGUCAUGGAGCAAGCAUUUCUUCACUCUGGAUUCCUAUUUAUCUGGUGCAUGAAAUCCUCUUGAUGUCAAGAGAAGCUAAUAAUUUUUUUUUAUUUAAACACAAACAAUGACAUCCACAUACGUAGGUUUGGCUGCAAAGGCAGCACCUGUCCAACCAACUUGUGCCGAGAGCUCUGCAGAGGAAGUGCACUCAAGAAGACACGCAAGGAAUAUUUAAUUAAGCUCUCUACAUUAAGACCCUCCUAUUUUUCCGAAGCUUCGUUGACGUUAUGCUUUUAAAAAAAACAGAGGCUUAUGUUUAAAAGAAAUUAGCUUCAUCACUUAAACUAUUUCAGCGAUCAGAGAUGAUUAAAUACAUUAGAGGUGUGGACAUGAGCUUUUACAAGGAAGACCCUUCCUCGGCAUAUGUUUGUCUCUUUGUUGCUGAGCUACUUCUCUACGUGUAGUUCACCAUGACUGCUCUCUCCUCUGCUUCCAUGUUCCACAUGUCCAUGGGUUUCUUUCUUUUCGUGAGUCUCUCUUCUCCUUCUUCGUGUCUGAUCGAAUGCUAUGCUGUUUAAUUUUCUUAAUCAAGUAUCUCAGAAUCUAUAAAUUGGACUUUCGUGUUACAUGCUUAUAUUCUCUUGCAGAUCUUCAAAAGAGGAUGAUGAUAAGCAUCCUUUCUAUUCUCAGGUUUCGUCUUACUAUUAGCUAAUCUUAAAUCAUGCUAAAGUCUCUAGCUUUGCUCUUCUAAAAUACAAAGCCUAGAGAGUGAGACAAACGCAGAGCUCGAAGCAGCAUCUUUGUCUCUGGGUCAGAGAUACAAUAACAAACUCUGGUUUCAUCUCAACAUGUUUCAAAAGAACUUUCGAAGAAGAAGGUGUGGAUGGUAUUUAUUGUCAUAAAAACAGAGAUUUUAAGCUUCGAAAUGGGACCCAAGGUUUGUGGAUUUUCCUGAAAAACAUAUCAGAGGAAUGAAGCCAUGAAAUAUGGAAAAGGAAGACGGUGAAGAAAUAGAUUUCUCAAGGUUUCUCAACCCGUUUUAUUCUGUUUGAGACAUAGAUUUGUAUGACCAGCAUAUGAACAUGGUUUGUUCCAGAUAUUUCUCUCCUUCCCUUGGCAUGCUGAAAAUAAAACAUUAUACUAGGUGAUUUACUCAUGGGAAUAAAUAUUUGCAAAAUA